UUCCUAAGCAGAAAAACAGAUUCAAAUCUACAAUGUGACUACAUAAUGAUGGAACUUUGUGAGUAUAAAAUCCAAAAUCAUUGUAAAAUAAACCAAUAAAAAAAUGUUACAACAUACAGUCAAGGCGGAAUACAAUAACACUUCCAAACACUGAUCAUACUUGAAUCACAGUAGCCUUUUCAGCCUGAUAAAACACCAAGUUAGCACUUAACGGACCAUAUACAGAAUAAUGGCAUGGCCUAAUCUUAACUCCAAAAUGUCUCCAAUAAGCCCUUUUAUACUAGCAUGUAGAAAAUCUUCAAAAACACUUUGUUGCUCCUACUGCAUCAGAUGUAGAAGUAUGAAGAACAUAUUAGUUAGGAAUGCAUGUCAUCUGAUUAAAAGAAAUACUUCUAAUGCAUAAUUAUUUUUUUUUCAUUCAAUCAAAUCAUAUGAAACAUCAAAUGUUUGGUGUUUAAGUCACAUUUUCCUGUUACAGAGUCAAAUCAGUCUAUAAGAUUAGCAAUCAAGGUGUCACUUUCAACAAAUUUAUAGAACCCCUCUUGAUUGGCCUACCACCAGAUGAUUCACUUGACCUCUUUAUCCCAGACCAAAUUCUUCUUGGUUUGGAUAUCUACAUCUACGUGCAAACAAGUAGUUACACAAGUUCAAUAAUAUAUUAAUAUCACUAUAAUUAUUGUUCUUUCUUUUCACGAAGAUAGUCAAAUCAGCCAUGCAUUAAGUUGCAAAAUAGCAAUAAAUUUCCAAUAAUCUGAAGAUUCAGAGGUAAAGAAUAAUGCAUGCAUGAAGACAAUAGAAAUUCAGCUUAGGAGUAAUAAUUAAAAUGCCAUAUUCAACCAUAUGUGGCUUCAGAUGAAAAACAUUUACCUAUUGACAAGACCUUUUCCAUACUUAGAUUUUGGAAUAGACAUAACUCUACCUC
rnacentral:lncRNA from 1 species